rnacentral:rRNA from 1 species
UGGGGAAUAUUGCACAAUGGGCGAAAGCCUGAUGCAGCAACGCCGCGUGCGGGAUGACGGCCUUCGGGUUGUAAACCGCUUUCAGCAGGGACGAAGGUUUUCUGACGGUACCUGCAGAAGAAGCACCGGCUAACUACGUGCCAGCAGCCGCGGUGAUACGUAGGGUGCGAGCGUUGUCCGGAAUUAUUGGGCGUAAAGAGCUUGUAGGCGGUCCGUUGCGUCGGAAGUGAAAACUCAGGGCUUAACCCUGAGCCUGCUUUCGAUACGGGCGGACUUGAGGGAUGUAGGGGAGAACGGAAUUCCUGGUGGAGCGGUGGAAUGCGCAGAUAUCAGGAGGAACACCAGUGGCGAAGGCGGUUCUCUGGACAUUUCCUGACGCUGAGAAGCGAAAGCGUGGGGAGCAAAUCAGGCUUAGAUACCCUGGUAGCCCACGCCGUAAACGGUGGCACUAGGUGUGGGACCCAUUCCACGGGUUCCGUGCCGUAGCUAACGCAUUAAGUGCCCCGCCU